UAGAAAUAAUCUUUUUAAACAAAAUAUCAGCAAAUCAAAUUCAGCAAUGCUCUCAGAGUGGGCUUUGUCAGGAGGCGAGCAUGCGCAGACCCUGCAGUGAGCCCGAGCGCGCCGCCGCGCCAGCCAGGCCUAGAGGCAGGAUUGAAGCCAGGAGGCGGUUGAGCAGGACCUGAGGGCGUUAGCCUCCUCCAACAAGUGGUGGCCUCGGGCAGCCGUCACCUCCAUCUCCAGGACACCCCUGGACGUGGUGAAGGUCCGCCUGCGCUCUCAGCGCCCUGCUGGGACUGAAGCCUCACUCCAGACUCUGGACCUCUCCUAAGCCGAAUCGCCCUCCUCCCUCCGAGCCACGGGGCAGGGCCUCCUGUGCCGCAGUGGUGUCCUGGAGCCCCUGCACCUGUCUCCAAAUGGUAUCCGCUGUGCCGCCAGGACGCGCUUCACUGGCAGCAUGGGUGCCUUUGUGAAGAUUGUGAGGCGCUAGGAUAACUGGGUGAUGAACCUGCCAGCCACCACCGUCUACUUCACUGGCUUACGACAAACUCCAGGCCGUCCUGUGUGACAGAGCCCUGACCUCUGAUCUCUACGCACUAUUGUGAUGAGGCUCAAUCUUUGUUUCACUUUAUUUCUCAGAAGAGAAUGACAAGAAGGUAUCUCCUGUGGAAUAUGCACUUAUCACUCCUAAUUCACUGAGACGCAGUAGACCCGAAUGAUCUAAAGAAGGCUCAUAGGUGGAAGGAACUUGCAUCUCUUGGAUGAGAC
rnacentral:lncRNA from 1 species